AACGCACGAGACCUGCGGACCUGCGGAAGGAUCAUUACCGAGUGCGGGCCCUCUGGGUCCAACCUCCCACCCGUGUUUAUUGUACCUUGUUGCUUCGGCGGGCCCGCCAUUCUGGCCGCCGGGGGGCUUGCCCCCGGGCCCGCGCCCGCCGAAGACACCCUCGAACUCUGUCUGAAGAUUGUAGUCUGAGUGGAAUUAUAAAUUAUUAAAACUUUUAACAAUGGAUCUCUAGAUCGGAAG
rnacentral:misc_RNA from 1 species